ensembl:lncRNA
GGUAUGAAUAUUAAUAGGAUAGCAGAGUCUGAUGGAGAAGACGAAGAAUCAGUCAAUAUCAAUACCUCUCAUUUAUCUGGCUCUUUCUUUGCUGGGCAAGAGCUAUUCCAAGCGCUCUGCAUACAUGAUCUGAUUUUAUCAAUACUACAGCCUCCUGAGAUGAGAAUAGCAUUAGAAGAUGCGCUGGUCCUGUCUCCUUGUUUUAUUGGGGAAGCUGAAGCCUGGAGAAGUUCAGUGCUAUUCCAGCUCUGGCAGCUAUAUCUACAGGGGUUUGGGAGAAGUCGCAGUACCAGAAGAGCCGCAGGCCGCUUGGUAUAGAAAAAGGUCUUGCUCUAUGAUGUUUAGCAGUGAAUACGAAUGUUACCAGAGGACACUAGAGCUGAAAAUCACCUGGAGGACACCUGCCCUUAUGCCUUCAUUUCACAGUGGCUACCUUAAAAACAUGAUAACAGUGGGACCUCUGACGACUUAAGCCCACCUCAUUAUAAUUCUGCAGGGAGAGACCUCCUUUCCAGGAAUGAUCCCUAAAGAAAUUCCUAUUAUAUGGACAUAUAAAUCCGGGUUAUUGACCUGGCACCGAACUCUACCUGCCACUGACUCUAACCUGAUGCUAAGCAGCUCACAAAUUGAAAACUCAUUUAGACUUUCUCUAGACAUCUUUGUUCUCUGUGUAUGAAAGAUAUCAGAGAAUAGUCUAAAUUAUCAGUACUGAUAGCCAGUCACAACCCCACCCACUAUAACCAUGCCCAAUGAAUAUCUGCAAAAUUACGAGCCAGGAAGCAGCUAGAAAUACCUCUUUGGACAUAGCCAUCUGUGUCCACCUACUGUCUUCCUUACUAGAUGUCCAGCUCUUCAUCAUCCUUAGCCUCUACACCAGAAUCAUGUGCCUGACACAUGGUAGGGGCUCAAGAAAUAUAAGUGACUGAGGGAUGAUUCCAUUCUACUAACUCUUUGUCUGCUCUAUUUCCCCAAAUUGAGUUUAGUUUAACUUCUGCAUUUCCAACAUAUGCGUGCAUGUGUGUGUAUACUGAAAUCUACUUCAUCCAGUAAAACUUAGUUAAAUCUACUUGAUCCAGACCAAACCAGAGACAGGACAGUAUUGAAGAUGGUGCUAAGUCAUAAUCAACAGCAAAAUUAUAGACAGAGGUAUUGUGUGAACCCAUCUAAUAA